AUUUAUUAGCGCUUGGCAUUUAUACAAUGCUAAGUUCUAGAACCCCUUAUAAAACCUGAUUUGUUUCAUAUUUUAGUAAGUUGACAAAAGGAUCUUAGAGGUCAUUUAGCCCAAGCUCAACUGCAGAUUAAACACACUGCAUAGGACCACAGAAUCAGCUGGUUCUGAACAGUAUCCAGACCUUAUGAGUCUUAGACCUAUGUUCUUUUCCACUGCACACUUACUAGUAUGAUGCUAGGUUCCUAUCUUCUACUCUUUUCCUUUUGUUUUCAUCUCUCCAUACUAUUAUAUGGAAAUUUGAAAAUUAAGAAUAUUUAUGUCAGUUGAGGGGGAUUACCCCUGUAAUCCUACUAGUUUGGUAGGCCAAGUUGGGAGGAUUGCUUGAGCCCAGGAGUUCCAAGACCAGGCUGGGCAAAAGAGUGAGACCCUAUCUCCUAAAACAAAAUGUUAGCGAGUAGUUGGGACUACAGGCCUAUGCCACCACGCCUGGCUAAUUUUUGUAUUUUUAGUAGAGAUGUGGGUUCACCAUGUUGGCCAGGAUGGUCUCGAUCUCAUGACCUCAUGAUCCAUCCGCC
rnacentral:sRNA from 1 species